rnacentral:snoRNA from 1 species
AAGAUCAUACUUCACAGGAUCAGUUCUGUAGGAGUUGAUCUCAUUCUCCCUCCCUAACAUGGGAGUAAACGUAACCGCGAUGAGGAGCUAUAGCCCUCUUCCUUGAGCGUGAGAACGACACGAGUUCUCGACUUGUUUCGAGAUUUCUGUCAUCAAUGAUCGUUCGUCCUUUGCACUUAGUGCGAAGGGGAUGGGAAGUAGGGCUUUCUGAGAGUGU